rnacentral:rRNA from 1 species
UACAGAGGGGGCAAGCGUUGUUCGGAAUUACUGGGCGUAAAGGGCGCGUAGGCGGCCUGUUAAGUCGAACGUGAAAUCCCCGGGCUCAACCCGGGAACUGCGUCCGAUACUGGCAGGCUUGAAUCCGGGAGAGGGAUGCGGAAUUCCAGGUGUAGCGGUGAAAUGCGUAGAUAUCUGGAGGAACACCGGUGGCGAAGGCGACGUCCUGGACCGGCAUUGACGCUGAGGCGCGAAAGCCAGGGGAGCAAACGGG